AGGGGAGAAAACCCAAGGCACAGGGAGGUUAAACACACUCUACUGACAACAUGACAAGCUACCAGCUCUGCUGCAGCAUUUCAUUUUAAUGUCAGCUAACAAUAGAAAAUCCAAGAAGGCAGCUCUCCCACAAAACCCAUGGAACUGGCAUGUGAGUGAUAGAACUGACCACGCUUAUAUCAACCCUGCAAUUAAAAUCUCAUGAAAAAUCAUUCAAAGUAAAUUGUUACAUAGAACACACUUUUAAAAGCAGCACUGGCUCUUAUGUGUGUAGAAAAAUAAAUAUUCACUAACACAGACACUUCUGACAGAUCAAAA